GCAAACUUGGUCAUUUAGAGGAAGUAAAAGUUGUAACAAGGUUUCCGUAGGUGAACCUGCGGAAGGAUCAUUAACAAAUCCAAUAAUUGUGGGAGGGGGCAACCUCUCUUGCAAAUAUUAAACCGCCAAUUCUUUACGGGAUUGGUUGGCUAAAUAAAUGCAUGUAAUGUUGACAGUGUGUGAGUAACUAAAAUUUAUUGACAACUUUUAACAAUGGAUCUCUAGGCUCUUGCAUCGAUGAAGAACGCAGC
rnacentral:misc_RNA from 1 species